CCCUGAGGAAUCGCCACACUGACUUCCACAAUGGUUGAACUAGUUUACAGUCCCACCAACAGUGUAAAAGUGUUUUAUUUCUCCACAUCCUCUCCAGCACCUGUUGUUUCCUGACUUUUUAAUGAUUGCCAUUCUAACUGGUGUGAGAUGGUAUCUCAUUGUGGUUUUGAUCUGCAUUUCUCUGAUGGCCAGUGAAGAUGAGCAUUUUCUCAUGUGUUUUUUGGCUGCAUAAAUGUCUUCUUUUGAGAAGUGUCUGUUCAUAUACUUCACCCACUUUUUGAUGGGGUUGUUUGUUUUUUCUUGUAUAUUUGUUUGAGUUCAUUGUAGAUUCUGGAUAUUAGCCCUUUGUCAGAUGAGUAGGUUGUGAGCUUCUGCAUGGCAAAAGAAACUACCAUCAGAGUGAACAGGCAACCUACAGAAUGGGAGAAAACUUUUGCAACCUACUCAUCUGAUCCUUUGAAUUUCUGUAGUAUCAUUUUAUAUCCAGUUUUUAAUUUCUGAUUUUAUUUAUGUGGGUCUCCUUUUUUUUCUUAUUCUGGCUGAAACUUCCUCAGAUUUGUUUAGCUUUUGAUAUAAUUAACAUCUCUAAUUGACUUUUGUGUUAUUUUCUUUAUGCUUAACAUUAUUAUGAGUAUAUUUUUUAAAUUUUAACUUUUUGGGUAUAUAAUAAGUAUAUAUAUUUAUGGGUGACAUAAGAUGUCAUGGUAUAGGCAUGCAAUGUGAAAUACGGGAAUUGGGUAUCCAUAAUCUCAUGUACUUAACCACUGUGUUGAAAACAAUAUAAUUAUAUCUUUAAGAUAUUUCAAAAUGCACAAUUAUUUUAUUAUGGUCACUGGUAUGCUAUUAAGUAUUAAGUAUUUUUAAUUAUUUCUAAUGUUUUUGCAACCAUUAAUCAUUCCCACCUCUUCCCCUCCCUCCCAAUACCUUUCCAAGACACUGGCAACCAUCCGCUAUGUAUAAAUAUGUUUUUAUUUUUAGGUUCCUAAAUAAGUGUGAACAUGUGUUCAUUGUCUCUCUGUACUUGGCUUAUUUCACAAAAUAUAAUAACUUUAUUUCCAUCUAUGGUGUUGCAAAUGACUGGAUUUUAUUUUUAUUGUCUAUAUUGUACUCUUUUGUGUGUAUGUUUCACAUUUUCUUCAUACAUUCUUCUGGAAGAAUGGACACUUAAGUUGUUUUUAAAUCUUAGCUAUUGCAAACAGUGCUGCAACAAACAUAAAAUCACGGACAUUUCUUUGAUAUAUUCACUUCUUUUUUUCUGGGAUAUAUGCUUAGCAGUAAGAUACAUGGUAGCUGAAUCAUAUGGUAGCUCAAUUAUUAGUUUUUUGUGGAAUGUUCAAAUUUUUUUUCAUAAUGCUUGUACCAAUUUACAUUCCCACCAACAGUGUACAAAGAUACCAUUUUAUUCGAAUCCUCACCAGUAUUUGUUAUUGCCUGUUUUAUGAAUAUAAGCAAUUUUAGCUGGUGUAUGGCAGACUUCCAAAAUCAAAUUUCAAUUUCAAUGUUGUCCUCCCUGUUGCCCAGCUUUUCGGAACUAUAUAGAGGCCCUGAAGUAUCCAGAAAAGGGGUAAACAGGAUUAUUUGACAUGUUUAGGUUUAUGAGAUUGCCGAAGUGAUGUCUAAUCUUCUUCAUGCUAUAGUUUAGUGAAUUAUAUUAAUGUACUUUUUAAAACCAUAUGGAACAUCUAAGGCUCUAAUGUCUGAAUAUGUACUAUCAAUCACAGUUCAGGUUAUUUUGUUGGGUUAUUGUAAACCCCCAAAACAACUGAAUUUCUUUGCUCAUUGUGUUCCUGAUUGUAUUCACUCUGGAGAUUUUGUCAUUUAAAGACAAUUGUUGUCUGGUUUUAAUUGUCUUUAAAAUAUGGUUUAUAAUCAACUUUGAAAUUUUAAAAGGUGUUCUGAAAUGCAUGUUUUUGAUAACUGAAAAUCACACAGAGCUCAUGAAAAGCUAAAAUGUUUAUAAUUGUAAAGCAGAGCAAUAGUUAAUAAAAGAAAGUAAACUAAUAGAAAACUAAAGCAGUAUUUUUUACUUUUGCUUGGAACAUUGCUGAUUCUCAUUUUGUUGUUUAGAGUCAAAAAAAAUUUCAUAAAACCAGAGACUGUUACAUCUUGGUCCACUGUUGAGACUACAACACUUCUUGUUUUCCUCUUUCUUAUUCAAUUUAUAUCAGUAUGGCCUCAUAAAUAUUUAUUUUAUUAUCUUGGUUAUAAAUUAAUGUUAUUCUUAUUUAUUUUGUUGCUCCCAUUUCUUCAGCUUGGCCUAUUGGAAAGUCCAUGUGGCAAUUCCAUAAUCUUCACAAGGUGUCCAUCAAUAUGCCUCAAUCGCCUUCUCUACUGUGACAGCUGACAUUGCAGAAACAGUGGCUUUUAAACCCUGUGCUUGCCUUUGAGUUUUCACUGAACAAAAGUGAAGGUGGCUAAUUUCCUUGUUGGAACAAAGCUGAAAUAUAUUGCCUUUUCAUAAUUUUAUUUGGGUGGUCUUGUCUCCAUUAUG
rnacentral:lncRNA from 1 species